UACGUAGGUGGCGAGCGUUAUCCGGAAUUAUUGGGCGUAAAGAGCGCGCAGGUGGUUGAUUAAGUCUGAUGUGAAAGCCCACGGCUUAACCGUGGAGGGUCAUUGGAAACUGGUCGACUUGAGUGCAGAAGAGUGGAGUGGAAUUCCAUGUGUAGCGGUGAAAUGCGUAGAGAUAUGGAGGAACACCAGUGGCGAGGGCGGCUUCCUGGUCUGUAACUGACACUGAGGCGCGAAAGCGUGGGGAGCAAACAGGAUUAGA
rnacentral:rRNA from 1 species